GCGCCUGUAGCUCAAUUGGAUAGAGCAACGGAUUUCUAAUCCGUAGGUUGAGGGUUCAAUUCCCCCCGGGCGUACCA
rnacentral:tRNA from 1 species